GAUGAACGCUGGCGGCGUGCCUAAUACAUGCAAGUCGAGCGAACAGACGAGGAGCUUGCUCCUCUGACGUUAGCGGCGGACGGGUGAGUAACACGUGGAUAACCUACCUAUAAGACUGGGAUAACUUCGGGAAACCGGAGCUAAUACCAGAUAAUAUAUUGAACCGCAUGGUUCAAUAGUGAAAGACGGUUUUGCUGUCACUUAUAGAUGGAUCCGCGCCGCAUUAGCUAGUUGGUAAGGUAACGGCUUACCAAGGCAACGAUGCGUAGCCGACCUGAGAGGGUGAUCGGCCACACUGGAACUGAGACACGGUCCAGACUCCUACGGGAGGCAGCAGUAGGGAAUCUUCCGCAGUGGGCGAAAGCCUGACGGAGCAACGCCGCGUGAGUGAUGAAGGUCUUCGGAUCGUAAAACUCUGUUAUUAGGGAAGAACAAAUGUGUAAGUAACUAUGCACGUCUUGACGGUACCUAAUCAGAAAGCCACGGCUAACUACGU
rnacentral:rRNA from 1 species